GAUGAACGCUGGCGGCGUGCCUAAUACAUGCAAGUCGAGCGAACAGACGAGGAGCUUGCUCCUCUGACGUUAGCGGCGGACGGGUGAGUAACACGUGGAUAACCUACCUAUAAGACUGGGAUAACUUCGGGAAACCGGAGCUAAUACCGGAUAACAUGUUGAACCGCAUGGUUCAACAGUGAAAGACGGUCUUGCUGUCACUUAUAGAUGGAUCCGCGCCGCAUUAGCUAGUUGGUAAGGUAACGGCUUACCAAGGCAACGAUGCGUAGCCGACCUGAGAGGGUGAUCGGCCACACUGGAACUCAGACACGGUCCAGACUCCUACGGGAGGCAGCAGUAGGGAAUCUUCCGCAAUGGGCGAAAGCCUGACGGAGCAACGCCGCGUGAGCGAUGAAGGUCUUCGGAUCGUAAAACUCUGUUAUUAGGGAAGAACAAAUGUGUAAGUAACUAUGCACGUCUUGACGGUACCUAAUCAGAAAGCCACGGCUAACUACGUG
rnacentral:rRNA from 1 species